CCCUUUUAUGAAAUAUCCCAGCUCCACUAUAAGUUACUCUGCUUCUCAUUCCUUAUUCCCCAGCCCUAACUUCGAAAACUUUGAAUGAAGGAACCCCUCCCCAAUAGAAGCUCGCACAACUCGCGCUCCCAACGAGGGAUCCUCAGCUUGCGCCGGACCUGGGUCUCCAGCCACUCCCGGUCGCUCAGGUCUCUCCACCAGUCUUCACAGCUUCCGAUUGAGAUCAAGGCGCCCUUUAUCUUCUAAGAUGGCCAGAAAAGGUCGUUUCACGAAAAAAUCGAAAAUAGGACCAGGAUGUCAGCAACCACAAACGGCUCCGCCUCCGGCCUCUGCUACCCACCGCGAUGACUCUGAAAUACUCCCAGACAGUGCAUAUUUUCCACAUUGAUGAAGAUAGCGAAGGAACCAUCAAAAAAAUAUUUUGAAAGCUAUGGGAAAGUCCUGGAAGGAGACAAGGCUGAGGUUGUAUAAUGCUUAUUUCGAGCCAACGUUCACGACUGAACAAAAUAUUGAGAACCGUCCACCGGAAAUAGAUCGAGAGCAUUGGAGAUGGUACCUUGACUAUCGCGCCAAACCCGAGACGAAGAAGAAGUGCAAGAAAAAUGCGAAGAAUCGAUCAAAACAACAGUAUACCCACACUGGCGGUUCGAAGAGCUUUGCACGGCGUUUGGAAGAAGAGUCGGAAGAACAAGGGAGAAUAGUCGGUAGAGGAGAGUUAUGGAUAAAGGUGCA